rnacentral:tRNA from 1 species
GGGGCUGUAGCUCAGUACCAGAGCACUUGCCUAGCAUGCAUGAGGCACUAGGUUCAAUCCUCACCCCCA